rnacentral:rRNA from 1 species
UACAGAGGGUGCAAGCGUUGUUCGGAAUUACUGGGCGUAAAGGGCGCGUAGGCGGUUUGGUAAGUCAGAUGUGAAAGCCCGGGGCUCAACCCCGGAAGUGCAUUUGAAACUACCAGACUAGAGUGCAGUAGAGGAUGGCGGAAUCCCCAGUGGAGAGGUGAAAUUCGUAGAUAUUGGGAGGAACACCGGUGGCGAAGGCGGCCAUUUGGGCUGUAACUGACGCUGAGGCGCGAAAGCGUGGGUAGCAAACAGG